rnacentral:tRNA from 1 species
GGCAACAUGGCCGAGCGGUCUAAGGCGCUACGUUCAGGUGGUUCUAUCUAGAACUUCUCACUCGUAGUCUCGAAAGGGGCGUGAGUUCGAAUCUCACUGUUGUCA